UUUGAUGGCGACCGGCGCACGGGUGAGUAACACGUAUCCAACCUGCCGAUGACUCGGGGAUAGCCUUUCGAAAGAAAGAUUAAUACCCGAUGGCAUAGUUCUUCCGCAUGGUAGAACUAUUAAAGAAUUUCGGUCAUCGAUGGGGAUGCGUUCCAUUAGCUUGUUGGCGGGGUAACGGCCCACCAAGGCAUCGAUGGAUAGGGGUUCUGAGAGGAAGGUCCCCCACAUUGGAACUGAGACACGGUCCAAACUCCUACGGAAGGCAGCAG
rnacentral:rRNA from 1 species